rnacentral:rRNA from 1 species
UACGUAGGGGGCAAGCGUUGUCCGGAAUCAUUGGGCGUAAAGCGCGCGUAGGCGGCUAGAUCAGUCUGCUGUAAAAAGUCAAAGGCUCAACCUUUGAAAGCCGGUGGAUACUGUCUAGCUAGAGUCCGGAAGAGGCGAGUGGAAUUCCUGGUGUAGCGGUGGAAUGCGCAGAUAUCAGGAGGAACACCAAUGGCGAAGGCAGAUCUCUGGGCCGUAACUGACGCUGAGGAGCGAAAGCAUGGGGAGCGAACAGG